rnacentral:rRNA from 1 species
GACGAACGCUGGCGGCGUGCCUAAUACAUGCAAGUAGGACGCAGUUGCGAACGGGUGAGUAACGCGUAGGUAACUACCUAUUAGAGGGGGAUAACUAUUGGAAACGAUAGCUAAUACCGCAUACUAGUAGAUGGACCUGCGUUGUAUUAGCUAGUAUGUAGGGGAAUGGCCUACCUAGGCAACGAUACAUAGCCGACCUGGGGGGGUGAUCGGUCACACUUGGGCUGGGACACGGCCCAAAAUCCUUCGGGAGGGAUGAGUAGGGUAUCGUUGUGAACGGGGGGAACCCUGACCGAGCAACGCCGCGUGAGUGAAGAAGGUGUUCGGAUCGUAAAGCUCUGUUGUUAAGGAAGCGGUACUUAACCAGAAAGGGACGGCUAACUACGUGCCAGCAGCCGCGGUAAUAC